AUGCUCCUGCUGCUUAUCCCAGCGCUUGAGAUGGUUUUUGCCCUGAGAGGAACGGGAGCCCAGUUGGUGACCCAGCCUGACGAUCUCAUCACUGUCUCUGAAGGAGCCCGUCUGGAGCUGAGGUGCAACUACUCAUCUUCUCUUUCAACCUAUCUCUUCUGGUACGUGCAGUACCCCAACCAAGGGCUCCAGCUUCUCCUGAAGUACACAUCUGGAAACAGCCUUGUCUCAGGCAUCAAAGGUUUUGAGGCUGAAUUUAGGAGGAGUGAAAGCUCCUUCCACCUGAGGAAACCCUCAGCCCAUUGGAGUGACUCGGCUGAAUACUUCUGUGCUCUGAGUGACACAGUGCCUGAGUCUGCAAGGGGAGCUGAGCACAAACUUCCUGAGACCUUGGGACUUUUUGUGACUCAAGAACUCGCGAGAGUUUCCAAGAGGGUCUUUUUUUCUGGGAAGGCAAAUAGGGCGGGCUGGGCUGGGCCCUGGGGAAUUCUUAUCUCUGGAAUAGUUGCUUCUAUAUCGGUGCUGUGCCACAUUCAGAUAGACUUUAUGUGGGAUGGAGGUCUUCUGAUGAGUUUCUCCGGAGGGAUGCCCCCUCAGCAACUCCCCUCCCCAUCCCCCCACACUGAAGAAAAUACAUCAGAAAGCGUCAGAGUUCUUAAGUCAAAAAGGUGA